CUUUACAUAGUGCAUUAAAUGCCUUUAAACAUGCAAAUGUGGUUCCGGUUGCACAUUUGCUGUUGUUAAGCCGUAGAGUAACAGUUUUGUCAUAAAGAGCAGACCUAGCUAAGAGACGAGUAAAUUGCAGUUCCUGAAUGUUACACAGUCAAUGUAUAUAAUACGUAAAUUAACAGACUCAGUGGAGGAAAGAGCUGUUUGCAUUAUAGCUCCUUUCCCUUCUUUUUUCCCUUUCAUUCUAAAAGGCAUGAAUAAUAAACUUGAAACCAAAUUUAAUGUCUGGAGAAAGCACUCCACUAUGUUAACCUAGCAGCAAUAAGAACAGGAAACAGCUAUUAUCAAAAUAAUCCUUCAGGAUUUUUCAGAGCAUAAGACAAUUGCUCUUUUGAGGUAAAAGCCUCACUCUUUACCUGCCUUCCUUUUUUAUUUUUCCUAGACCCAGAUCUAAAUUAGUUUUCUUCCAGAGAAUGACCUGCUUUAUUUCACUUUCUAGCUCCAAUGAACACAAGCGCUAUAUAUACUAACUAGGUUUCUGUGUCAAGGGGCACCAAAAAUAUGCUAGUAUCGUGGAAAAGACAUACGGAAAAACCUUGAUUUGGCAGGAUGUUCUUGUCAAUAAAGAACAAACAGAAAGGACCCACAUGGAGGCUGAAAAGCUUAUCCAAAAAAGGUUAAUGAGCAGAUCAGUCUGCUUGCUGAACUGACCGAUCUUCCAAGGAAUUGGGUUGUUAGCAGGAGCAAUGGAACAGCGAGGACAGUAGGACAGUACUCAUAAGGGGACUCUUGACUCAGCAAAGCAGGUUUGGUCAAAAUGCAAAUACAGGUCUUCUGGGAUCAAAGGAACUCUUCAACGUACUUUAGCAUGCCUGAUAGGAAGGAAUGACUAUGGAGGAUAUGACUUCCAGGUAGUUCUGGCAGCAGAAGCACACACAAUGAGCCACAGGCACAGUCCCCAGUCCCCAGUGCCCACUGGAGCCACCACCGUAGCACAUCACAGACCCUAAUGAACUCGGAGCUUCUGCAGGCAGAUGCAGCUCUGCAGGCCUGGUGCAGCAGGGAUUCCUGGUGCUUCCCACUGAUCUCAGGGCUGCUGGCAGGACGUGAGCCAUGACAAGACUCUACGUCACCAAGUAGUGGAGUCGUGGGAAGAGGUCAGCAGGCUAUACAGCAUCAGGGAUGAUGUGAAAGAGAUGGACUGGAUCUUCUUUGAUAUCUUGCAGGACAUGAGAGCCUGACUCCUAGCUGCAGAGAAGGAGGGACACACAGAGCCUGUGCCUAUUGAAUUGGGAAAGAGAUUUCCAGGAUGGUGAAGACCGGGAGCUCAGGACUUCUCUCACGAGGAGGAUGACUUCUGUUCCACCUGCCAAUCUGCAACUAUAGAUCAGUUACAGUAAACACUAGGGGUGGAUAAUGAGUCCAGUAUUUUUUAAUGUUUCCCUUAAUGACCUGCACUAUGGGACAGAUUGCACUGUCAGCAUUUUCACAGAUUACAGAAAACCUUGUGGGAGUGAUUGAUGUGUAAGACAGCUGUGCUGCCAUUUAGGGGAACUUUACAGACUGGAAAAAUUGUUCAACAAAUUGAAAUGAUGAGUCCUGAGGAACAAUCUCAUGCACCAGAAAAAAACUGGGGGCUGACUGGCUGGAAAGUAGCAAUGCAGAAAAUCUGGGGAUCCUGAUGGACAAGUUCAGCAUGAGCCUGCAAUGUGCCCUUGCAGAGGACAAAAACCUCCUGGACUGUGUGAGAAAUAGCAUCAUCAGCAGGUUUAAGGAGGUGAUCCUUCUCAUCAGCACUGGUGAGACCAUGCCAGGACUGUGUCCAGUUCUAGGCUCCCUAAUUACUAGAGAGACGGUGACAUACAGUAGUGAGUCCAGCAAAGGAUCACAGAAUCAGUCUCACAGAAUGGUCGGGGCUGGAAGAGACCUCUGGAGAUCAUCUAGUCCAACUGCACUGAUAAAACAGAUUCACCUAGAGAAGGUUGCACAGGAUCAUAUCCAGGUGGGUUUAGAGUAUCUCCAGAGAAAGAGAAUCAGCAACCUUUCUGGACAGCCUGUGCCAGUGCUUUGUCACCUUCACAGUAAAGAAGUUUUUCCUCAUAUUCAGAUGGAACUUCCUGUGUUUCAGUUCUCGUCAUCAUGAAGAUGAUCAAGAGAAGACACCAGAUAGAAGGAGAAGCUGAGAGAGCUGAGACUGGGACAGAAGUCUGGAACAAUGUGUAUAAAUACCUAAUGGAGGUGUGUGCCUGUAUGUGUGUGUAUAAAUAAGAUAAAAGACAAGAAGCAAUGAGCAUAACAGGGAAACAAUCUCUACUCUGAAGGUGAUGAAACACUGGAACAGACUGCACAGAGAAGUUGUGGAAUCUCCAUGAUUGGACACAUUCAAACCCCAUCUGGUCAUGAUUUUGGGCAACUUGCUCUAGCUGAUCCUGUUUUGAUGUUGAAUGAGAUGUUCUUUAGAGGUGCCUUCCGACCUCAAAUAUUUUGUUAUAUUGUGAAUCUAUCAGAUUUAACAGAACUAAAAUAUUUCUUAUGUUUUCAAAAGGAGCAAUCCACAAAUCCAUUUGCCUUAAUAUUUCCCUGUUAUCUUUUCUUAAAAACCAAUAUUCAGCUUCUGACUUCACCUGUUCACCAGGUUUAGAUAAUUAGUUGUCUCUGUCAUAGCCUGUGAGGCAAACAAAAUAGGUUUGAUUAAAAAAGAUUAAAAAAUUAUAAUAAAUUAUCAUUAAAAUAAUUUUCAACUUUU